rnacentral:rRNA from 1 species
CACCUCUUCCCAUUCCGAACAGAGAAGUUAAGCC